UGACACACAGCACAAUGAUGUUGUCACUGAUUCUACUGCUGGGGACACUGGGGCUCCUUGUUGAGGAAUCAUCAGCAGAUAUAAUUCUGACCCAGUCUCCUGCAUCUCAGUCUGUUAGCCCAGGAGAUACUGUCUCUAUCAGCUGUACAGCCAGUUCAAGUACUGUUAAUAAUCUCCACUGGUACCUGCAGAAACCUGGAGAAGCUCCUAAACUCCUGGUUUACUCUGCUACAUCCCGUCAGUCUGGGAUUCCAGGUCGUUUUACUGGGAGUGGAUCUGGUCGUCCUUAUACUCAUUACACUCUGACCAUCAGUGGAGUCCAGGCUGAAGAUGCAGGAGAUUACUACUGUCAGCAGAGUAACAGCUAUCCGUUCACUUUUGGUGGAGGCACCAAACUGGAUGUUGGAAGUGACGUCAGACUCACCCUGACAGUCCUGUCCACCCUCCUGUUUGGAGCUGCAGCAGGGGAAGGCCACUCUCAUGACCAACAAGGGCUUCCCCUCAGAGUGGAGGCUGAGCUUGAAGCUGGAUGAUAGAAGCAGCAGCAGAAGCACCUCAUCAGUGUCUCUGGAUGAUGUCAUCAGAAACACUUAUCUUCAUCUAUCUUUUUGA